GGCGGGGGAGAGCCCGGCCCGGGCUAUCGCGGCCCCGGGAGGGCUCAGGGCCGGAGCAGCGCUCCCCGCCGGGCCCUGCCCGCCUUCCUCCCGCUGCCGCCGGGAGAGGCCGCCCGCGCGCACCGCCCCGUGCGCUCCGCGCUGGGAAUAAAGGCGGGGGGGGGCGCGGAGGGGAGGAAGCGCCCCCGAGGAUCGAGGGGGGCCCAGGGGGCGGGCGGGAGCGCGGCCAUGGAUGUAGGAGCGACCGGGAGCGCUCCCGGUAUCUGCACCAGGAUGGCCGAGUGGUUAAGGCGUUGGACUUAAGAUCCAAUGGACGCAUGUCCGCGUGGGUUCGAACCCCACUCCUGGGUAAUAUCAUUGUGUUUAAUAAUACAUCGAAAGUGAGGGAAGGACAAAUCAAGCACAGACUGAUAAAUUUUUAAACAUCAGUAUUUGCCAGAGCAUCCUGGUCAAAUUCUAAUACAGCUUGUUAGAGCACAUGCUGAUCUGGAAUGGAGCAGAAGAUUUUUUUGAACCUUUCCUGAUCUGAAGAAAUACCCAUAAAAUCUACCUGCAACAAGGAUGUCCCAACCCCUUCCUACGCUUCUCCAUAAAGGAAAGUUUAAUCUGCUGGGGUUAUUUGUUUCUGUUUUAGGUGAAGUGGCAGGGUGAUGUGUUGUGUUUUAGGUCUGGAGAUGACCAUGAUUUUAAGACUUAUACUUUACUGAGCAAGUAUUUUUCUUUGGUUUUAAUAGCUUCCCUGUUAAACCCUCAUGAAUUAUUGGUGGUUGCCCUUGCAGUUUGACAUUCUUACAUGCACUUGUUGUACUCUGGCCUUUAGUUCAAACAAUAUUGCUUUUUAUUGGACUCUGUUCUGUGGAUGAGUUGUGUUUCUAAAAAGGAUCCUUGCCUUGUUUGUUGAGGAAAAUGGAAAAAGUAUAGCAACUAAUGCUAGAAACUGGAAUAAAAAAAGGAGAUUCAUAUGCUGACAGUUGAAUGCUACCCUGAUCAACCAGGGCUGUUUUUCUUGCCUCUGCAUAUUUCCUGUCUGAUGAGAAGCUGGUCAGUUAAAAUAGAUUUUUCAUAAGCAAUCAUUUGUUUUCAUGUUCCUUAUUUUGUGGUCUCCAUCUUGAGUACCUCAGUCUGAUGUGCAGAAAUGCAAAGCUUUUGCAAGCACAGGUGAAAUCAAUGUAUUACCUAUACUUUAAGGAAUCUCUGAAAAGAAUUGUAUUAUUUGUUUCUGAGCAGUCAGAAUAACUUCAGGCAAAAGUUAUUGGAGAUACUUGAUGUUAAUCUUUCCGUACCUCAAUUUGCCAUUGUAUAAAAUAGAAGUAAUAAAAGUACACCAUUUGCAAAAUGGGCUGCUAUGAAGUAAAUUCAUUCUUGUUUCUGAAGAAUUCAGAUGGAUACUUAGAUAA